rnacentral:rRNA from 1 species
UACGGAGGUGCAAGCGUUGUCCGGAAUCACUGGGCGUAAAGGGCGCGUAGGCGGCUCAUGAAGGCUGUGGUGAAAGUCCGGGGCUCAACCUCGGAUCGGCCGUGGCGACUCGUGGGCUGGAGCACUGUAGAGGCGGGUGGAAUUCCGGGUGUAGCGGUGGAAUGCGUAGAGAUGCGGAGGAACACCGAUGGCGAAGGCAGCCUCCUGGGAUAACACUGACGCUCAUGCACGAAAGCGUGGGGAGCAAACAGG